AGCAGAUGGGAGCGAGAGCGCGAGAGCCGAGCAGUAGACGAGGUGGCGCGCGCGCGCGCGCAAACACAGCAGCAGCUGUUUUUUGUCGGACGUGAAAGUGCGCCAGGCUCGCGUACACGUGCACGGAGCUGUGUAGCUGGCUCUGGCCUGCCUCGCUGUAGUGGGAGGAGGCAGGGUAAGGAUAAGUAAGGUGGAUGCAAGUGGAACGAGCUGCUCAUUGCAAAAUCCUAACUAUAGACUGCCGACGCCGACGCCAGUCGCUUAGCAGUUCCUUGGCCGACUGAUAUUUGCGCAACCGGCAUUGUUGGAAAAACGCAUGCGCUCUAUCUGCUCCCCCUCCCCUUUCUCUCUGUGUCGAAACCGCAUCAAUUUUCGAGAGACAAAACCAGCACGCGCGAGAAUCUCCUCGCCUCCCUGCAACCUAUAGGAAAGAGGUUCAUCGGGCCAGAGCACGUACGCGUCUCACAGCAGCAGCCACCUGCCAGCAAGCAACACGCGGAAACAGGCACACGGACGACAAAAAGAAACAUACAAGCGUGAUUAUUGUGUUUUCAAGGAAACACAGACGGAAGUACGUGAAACCGAUUCGAAAUUAUAACCUGCGCCAAAGAACGGCGUCCCGUCCCUUGGCUAUCUUCACUUGGAUAAACUUCUUCGCGUUGUAUUCUACACUAUUAUGUAAAUUAGCCGCUUAUGCUUUUCACGUACGUUAUGUACUCCCCGAUCGUUACGAAAUGAACAGUCGAUGAACAGCACUCAGUAGCUUUUUUGUUCUCUAUAGAUUGCCUAAUCGAAGCAGCAAUUCUCCUUCGAUGAUUGACUUACCUGCAACAAAAAGAAAAUCAAGGGAAAAUUAGCGAUUCUCUUAAUUAAAAAGAUCAGACGUGACGACGAUUGUCCGAUUAUUUAUCGCUAUUGUUUUUCCUUCCUUUUGUUUUUCAAUGAAAAUUAACGAAUAACCUGGCUUGCAUAAACGACCAAAAAGUACGCUAAUACCGCGCGAGUGAGUAUUUACGUAAGCGCAAUAUUUUAGCUAAAGCAUCAAUUUCCAAGCAGUUUUUCCACUGCUAGUUCAUGCAACUACUUUCAAAACGCUUCCUAACAUUCACACUCUUUUUUACUUCACCGCUGCACCUGCCACAAGUUUCAGCAGCAACAGCAGCAGUUUACUGAUAAUAGAGCAAGGAACUAUGCAAGAAUGAAAUAUUUAUACGGAUAGAAAAAAUAUGCAGCGGAAAUUCGGUGGGAACAUUCGGCGAGAAUGAAGUUAUAUUUGGAGAGUUGAUGGUUGACAAAUAGUGGCGAAGGUCAAUUUGGAAAUGAGUCUCUAUAAUUAUAACAACAUCGGGAUGAGUAUGAAGCUCCGAUCGUUCAAGCUUAACGAAUUAGUGGCGCUGUGGCAGUUAAGGAAAAAUGAUGGAUCAAUAAAGAUGUUGAAAUACAAACUUGCUGCUGAGCGUCAGACCGUACGAUACCUGAAAAACGAGGUUCAGACAUCGUCAGUUUGACAAGUCAAACUGACUUAUUAAAAAGCAUGAACAAGUCAAGUGUACUAUUGCCGUUUAUACAAUAAUAAAGUACUAAAUAAAUAUAAAUGUAUUAAUAAAAUAUUGACUUGUUUAUUGUAUCUAGAUUAUAAUUUCAAUGAAUGUAAACAAAUAUUAAUGUAUUAUUAAAUUUGAAUAAGAAUAUA